GGCGUUAAGUUGCAGGGUAUAGACCCGAAACCCGGUGAUCUAGCCAUGGGCAGGUUGAAGGUUGGGUAACACUAACUGGAGGACCGAACCGACUAAUGUUGAAAAAUUAGCGGAUGACCUGUGGCUGGGGGUGAAAGGCCAAUCAAACCGGGAGAUAGCUGGUUCUCCCCGAAAGCUAUUUAGGUAGCGCCUCGUGAAUUCAUCUCCGGGGGUAGAGC
rnacentral:rRNA from 1 species